rnacentral:misc_RNA from 1 species
AAAGAUGACGAGUCCGAUCAAUUUUUCCAUUCUUUCAAUGGUGACGACAAUCGAGGCAUUUGUCUGAGAGAAAUCCUUUUUACUGCUAUAUUUUAAUUUUUCUAUUGUUAUUUCAUGAUCCAAUCUUUCUACUGAAGAUAUUAAUCUUCGAUCAGAUGGUUUUUUUUUUCCUCUUAAAUCGUUGAGAAAUUAUUUGCUGAUGAAAGGCGGGCAGUAGUGAUGAUUGAGAUAUUUCACAUUCUUAUUUUUUAAUGUGAUGAUUUUAACUCCUCCUACUCAAAAAAAAAAAACCAUCUGAUCGAAGAUUAAU